rnacentral:rRNA from 1 species
AACGAACGCUGGCGGCAUGCCUAACACAUGCAAGUCGAACGAGACCUCCGGGUCUAGUGGCGCACGGGUGCGUAACGAGUGGGAACUUGCACUUAGGUUCGGAAUAACUCCCCGAAAGGGGUGCUAAUACAGGAUAAUGUCUUAGGACCAAAGAUUUAUCGCCUUGGGCUGGGCGCGCGUUGGAUUAGCUAGUUGGUAGGGUAAUAGCCUACCAAGGCGACGUUCCAUAGCUGGUCUGAGAGGAUGAUCAGCCACACUUGGGCUGCGGCACGGCCCAGACUCCUACGGAAGGGAGCAGUGGGGAAUAUAGGAGGAUGGAGGAAAGCGUGAUCCAGCAAUGCCGCGUAAGUGAUGAAGGGGUUAGUGUUGUAAUUCUCUUUUACCCGGGAUGUUAAUGACGGUACCGGGUGAAUAAGCACCGGCUAACUCCGUG